CGUGCCUAAUACAUGCAAGUUGAGCGCUGAAGGUUGGUACUUGUACCGACUGGAUGAGCAGCGAACGGGUGAGUAACGCGUGGGGAAUCUGCCUUUGAGUGGGGGACAACAUUUGGAAACGAAUGCUAAUACCGCAUAAAAACUUUAAACACAAGUUUUAAGUUUGAAAGAUGCAAUUGCAUCACUCAAAGAUGAUCCCGCGUUGUAUUAGCUAGUUGGUGAGGUAAAGGCUCACCAAGGCGAUGAUACAUAGCCGACCUGAGAGGGUGAUCGGCCACAUUGGGACUGAGACACGGCCCAAACUCCUACGGGAGGCAGCAGUAGGGAAUCUUCGGCAAUGGACGAAAGUCUGACCGAGCAACGCCGCGUGAGUGAAGAAGGUUUUCGGAUCGUAAAACUCUGUUGGUAGAGAAGAACGUUGGUGAGAGUGGAAAGCUCAUCAAGUGACGGUAACUACCCAGAAAGGGACGGCUAACUACGUGCCAGCAGCCGCGGUAAUACGUAGGUCCCGAGCGUUGUCCGGAUUUAUUGGGCGUAAAGCGAGCGCAGGUGGUUUAUUAAGUCUGGUGUAAAAGGCAGUGGCUCAACCAUUGUAUGCAUUGGAAACUGGUAGACUUGAGUGCAGGAGAGGAGAGUGGAAUUCCAUGUGUAGCGGUGAAAUGCGUAGAUAUAUGGAGGAACACCGGUGGCGAAAGCGGCUCUCUGGCCUGUAACUGACACUGAGGCUCGAAAGCGUGGGGAGCAAACAGGAUUAGAUACCCUGGUAGUCCACGCCGUAAACGAUGAGUGCUAGAUGUAGGGAGCUAUAAGUUCUCUGUAUCGCAGCUAACGCAAUAAGCACUCCGCCUGGGGAGUACGACCGCAAGGUUGAAACUCAAAGGAAUUGACGG
rnacentral:rRNA from 1 species